AGUUGAAUCGGGAAUGAAGUUCUCCCGAGGAAAAUCCUGAACCGGGACCGGCCGCCGCGCUGCAGAACGUAACUGCGCACGCACGGCGCGCGGUCUCUGAUGACUUCUGUGAUUAC
rnacentral:ncRNA from 1 species